ACGCUCGACACCUACGGGGGGCAGCAGUGGGGAAUAUUGGGCAAUGGGCGCAAGCCUGACCCAGCAACGCCGCGUGAAGGAAGAAGGCUUUCGGGUUGUAAACUUCUUUUGUCAGGGAACAGUAGAAGAGGGUACCUGACGAAUAAGCCACGGCUAACUACGUGCCAGCAGCCGCGGUAAUCUGAGGCGGGCGUGGCGAAGGC
rnacentral:rRNA from 1 species